GACAUAACAUCACAAAUUUAAACUAGGUGGACUGAUCCGAAAAAUACUAACAUAUUAAACCAACGUCCCUCGUAAAACACUUCCUUCUUCAUCUUCUAUCUAUCGGCGAGAUCUUUUUCUUCUUCUUUUCUCAUCACUAAAUUGAUCAAUCAAAAUGGCAUAUGCUGCGGUAAACCUACAAAGGUCGGGCUGAAUGAAUCACAAGAGCAAAUCUACAAGAUUAGCGUCACCCUUCCUUUGAGCAUGUCCAAAAUAUCAAAAAAGAGCUUUCACUCUUGGGAAUGGAUUCAUAGUGGAUCUAGAUCUUCAUCUAAGAUGUUGGAAGUGCCACAAUUGACAACAUCGUCUCCUUGAUUGGGGUUGUAUACCUGCCCACACAUCUACGAUUGAUUAAAUAUGUUGGUGCUUGAGAGUGAGAUGUUUAGAUUAAAAUAAUAUGUAUCUUCAAUAUGUGUCAGAUAUUUCUUUUUAUAUGGUGUCCUCUCGAUUUUUUAGAAAAAGCUCGUUAAAAUUAUGAGCAGUAUAUGUAGUGAUUUGUAGACCACCAUUUUAUUUUGAAUGUUGAUGAUUGUAAGAUAUUUGUUACCAUCACAUAACUAAAAUUCAGAUUUU